rnacentral:rRNA from 1 species
GACAGAGGGUGCAACGUUGUUCGGAAUUACUGGGCGUAAAGCGCGUGUAGGCUGCUUCGCAAGUCGGAUGUGAAAGCCCUGGGCUCAACCUAGGAAGUGCAUUCGAAACUGCGGAGCUUGAGUCCUGGAGAGGAAGGCGGAAUUCUCGGUGUAGAGGUGAAAUUCGUAGAUAUCUGGAGGAACACCGGUGGCGAAGGCGGGUCACUGGCCCGAUACUGCGCGAGGCACGAAGCGUGGGGAGC